GUAACUGUCAUUGGAUGGGAUUUUGAAUGUUAAUGCCUGACUGGGUACAUACACUGUCCAUCAAAUGAAACCGGAAGAAAGGUUACAUAUCGAAACAAUUUGUAAGGAAGGAUAGUGGUGUGUCCUUACCGAGCUGUUACGAGACAGUUGUUUGGUAUGGAGGCUCCAGCUACUGUUAACCUGACUGGCUGGAGGAGACAUUUCAACAGCUACACACUACAGGGCCGACGCAACUUUGUCCUGGCUACCUAUGGUGUCCUAGCGUUGUCAGCAGCAGCCUAUAUGAUACACAAACGGAGUAAAGAGGACCCCAGAGUAGCCAGCCCCACUGCCUGACUGACACCCUCUCUCAAUGUUCAAUGUCCAAUGUCCAACGCUUUAUUGACCUGAUAUUCACAUUGUUUUCCAAUACUACCAAAUCAGAGAUUCAUAACAGCAGCGCUCUCUCUCUCUUCCGCUCCCUCCCUCUCUUCCGCUCCCUCCCCUCCCUCUCUCUCUCACUCUCUCCCUCCCUCUUCCGCUCCCUCCCUCUCUCCCUCCCUCUUCCGCUCCCUCCCUCCCCUCCCUCUCUCUCACUCUCACUCUCUCCCUCUCUCUUCCGCUCCCUCCCUCUCUUCCGCUCCCUCCCUCUCACUCUCACUCUCUCCCUCCCUCUUCCGCUCCCUCCCUCUUCCGCUCCCUCCCUCUUCCGCUCCCUCCCUCUUCCGCUCCCUCCCUCUUCCGCUCCCUCCCUCCCCUCCCUCUCUCUCACUCUCACUCUCUCCCUCUCUCUACCGCUCCCUCCCUCUCUUCCGCUCCCUCCCUCUCACUCUCACUCUCUCCCUCCCUCUUCCGCUCCCUCCCUCUUCCGCUCCCUCCCUCUUCCGCUCCCUCCCUCUUCCGCUCCCUCCCUCUUUUCCGCUCCCUCCCUCUCUUCCGCUCCCUCCCUCCCUUUCUCUCUCGCUCUCUCUCUCUCUCGCUCUCUCUCUCAAUGUUAAUAAAUAGAAUUUAAUCCAGUCACGAUGUCUCUGUGUCGUCUUGGUUUAAUCUCUAACCCAGAAUAGAACGGAGCAGAAUCCAUCCUGGCAUUCAGACUAACCGGUAACCAUGACAACACACUACUGGGAGCUCCAGGCUGCAGCGUGUAUGUCUGGCCACGGGGUGGCGCUGUGGAGAGAGAGGGGGAGAGAGAGAAUGUACUACAUAAACUGGGUGGUUCGAGUGCUGAUUGGCUGAAAGCCGUGGUAUAUCAGAUCGUUUACCACGGGUAUGACAAAACAUUUUAUUUUUACUGCUCUAAUUACGUUGGUAACCAGUUUAUAAAAGCACUAAGGCACCUCGGGGGUUUGUGGUAUAUGGC
rnacentral:lncRNA from 1 species